CCUCUGGCGGAGGGAGUGUGGAACUGCCACCGCUCUCCGGCAAGGUCUUCCGGCGCGCAGGGGGCGCUCGGGGCGCGGAGCCCCGCACCCCUCCUGGCCAGUGCGUGGGAAAGGAGGCGGCGUGAUCGCCUCGGAGGAAGAAAAAGGUGCCGGGACUAGGGAACCAACGCAACAAGCGGAGCUCACAACCACCCCGGGGCCGCAUACACCUCCUGAGAAUUAAUCCGGAAGGAUGCCUGGCCUCGUGGUGCUGGGGAUCUGUUCCCAGGGCUCCCUUGUCUAUGUUGGCUGGAUAGUCCCGAGUCCCAUGUUUUCCUCUCCCAGAACUUUGUAAACAUCAUUACUCCAUUGUUUUCUGAUGUAUAAAGUUUCUGGGGGCAAAAGAAAUAAGGCCAGCGUGAGUUUGAUUUUCUUUUUCCUUUUGUAAGUGACUUAGUUUAUAUUAGA